ACGAACGCUGGCGGCGUGCCUAACACAUGCAAGUCGAGCGGAGACAGUGAGUAGCUUGCUAUGAGCUGUUUUAGCGGCGGACGGGUGAGUAACGCGUGAGCAACCUUUCCCAGACAGGGGAAUAACACACCGAAAGGUGUACUAAUACCGCAUAAGACCACGGAAUCACAUGGUUCUGAGGUAAAAGAUUUAUCGGUUUGGGGUGGGCUCGCGUCCGAUUAGGUAGUUGGUGAGGUAACGGCCCACCAAGCCGACGAUCGGUAGCCGACCUGAGAGGGUGAUCGGCCACAUUGGGACUGAGACACGGCCCAAACUCCUACGGGAGGCAGCAGUGGGGAAUAUUGGGCAAUGGAGGAAACUCUGACCCAGCAACGCCGCGUGGAGGAAGAAGGUUUUCGGAUCGUAAACUCCUGUCCUUGGAGACGAGUAGAAGACGGUAUCCAAGGAGGAAGCCCCGGCUAACUACGUGCCAGCAGCCGCGGUAAUACGUAGGGGGCAAGCGUUGUCCGGAAUAAUUGGGCGUAAAGGGCGCGUAGGCGGCUCGGUAAGUCUGGAGUGAAAGUCCUGCUUUUAAGGUGGGAAUUGCUUUGGAUACUGUCGGGCUUGAGUGCAGGAGAGGUUAGUGGAAUUCCCAGUGUAGCGGUGAAAUGCGUAGAGAUUGGGAGGAACACCAGUGGCGAAGGCGACUAACUGGACUGUAACUGACGCUGAGGCGCGAAAGUGUGGGGAGCAAACAGGAUUAGAUACCCUGGUAGUCCACACUGUAAACGAUGAAUGCUAGGUGUAGGGGGUAUCGACCCCUUCUGUGCCGCAGUCAACACAAUAAGCAUUCCGCCUGGGGAGUACGGCCGCAAGGUUGAAACUCAAAGGAAUUGACGGGGCCCGCACAAGCAGCGGAGCAUGUUGUUGAAUUCGACGCAACGCGAAGAACCUUACCAGGUCUUGACAUCCACUUAAACUUACAGAGAUGUAAGGUGUGCUUGCACAAAGUGAGACAGGUGGUGCAUGGUUGUCGUCAGCUCGUGUCGUGAGAUGUUGGGUUAAGUCCCGCAACGAGCGCAACCCUUAUCUUCAGUUACUAACGCGUGAGGGUGAGGACUCUGAAGAGACUGCCGGGGACAACUCGGAGGAAGGUGGGGACGACGUCAAAUCAUCAUGCCCCUUAUGACCUGGGCUACACACGUGCUACAAUGGCCACGACAGAGAGAAGCGAAAUCGUAAGGUAGAGCGGAACUCAAAAAAGUGGUCCCAGUUCGGAUUGUGGGCUGCAACCCGCCCACAUGAAGUCGGAGUUGCUAGUAAUCGCGGAUCAGCAUGCCGCGGUGAAUACGUUCCCGGGCCUUGUACACACCGCCCGUCACACCAUGGGAGCCGGUAAUACCCGAAGUCAGUAGUUUAACCGUAAGGAGAACGCUGCCGAAGGUAGGAUUGGCGACUGGGGUG
rnacentral:rRNA from 1 species